rnacentral:rRNA from 1 species
UACAGAGGUCCCAAGCGUUGUUCGGAUUCAUUGGGCGUAAAGGGUGCGUAGGCGGCGCGGUAAGUCGGGUGUGAAAUCUCGGAGCUUAACUCCGAAACUGCAUUCGAUACUGCCGUGCUUGAGGACUGGAGAGGAGACUGGAAUUUACGGUGUAGCGGUGAAAUGCGUAGAUAUCGUAAGGAAGACCAGUGGCGAAGGCGGGUCUCCGGACAGUUCCUGACACUGAGGCACGAAGGCCAGGGGAGCAAACGGG